rnacentral:rRNA from 1 species
CCUACGGGUGGCAGCAGUGGGGAAUAUUGGACAAUGGGGGCAACCCUGAUCCAGCCAUGCCGCGUGUGUGAAGAAGGCCCUCGGGUUGUAAAGCACUUUCAGUGAGGAAGAACGCCUGGUGGUUAAUACCCAUCAGGAAAGACAUCACUCACAGAAGAAGCACCGGCUAACUCCGUGCCAGCAGCCGCGGUAAUACGGAGGGUGCGAGCGUUAAUCGGAAUUACUGGGCGUAAAGCGCGCGUAGGUGGCUUGAUAAGCCGGUUGUGAAAGCCCCGGGCUCAACCUGGGAACGGCAUCCGGAACUGUCAAGCUAGAGUGCAGGAGAGGAAGGUAGAAUUCCCGGUGUAGCGGUGAAAUGCGUAGAGAUCGGGAGGAAUACCAGUGGCGAAGGCGGCCUUCUGGACUGACACUGACACUGAGGUGCGAAAGCGUGGGUAGCAAACAGGAUUAGAUACCCAGUAGUC